rnacentral:rRNA from 1 species
GCCGCGUGGGGGAGGAAGGCCUUAGGGUUGUAAACCCCUGUCAGGUGGGACGAACCCCGGGUCGGUUAAUAAUCGGCUCGACUGACGGUACCACCAGAGGAAGCUCCGGCUAACUCCGUGCCAGCAGCCGCGGUAAUACGGAGGGAGCGAGCGUUGUUCGGAAUCACUGGGCGUAAAGGGCGCGUAGGCGGCCGAGUAAGUCGUGUGUGAAAGACCGGGGCUCAACUCCGUGUACUGCAUGCGAUACUGCCCGGCUAGAGAAAGGUAGAGGCGAGUGGAAUUCCCGGUGUAGCGGUGGAAUGCGUAGAUAUCGGGAAGAACACCUGUGGCGAAGGCGGCUCGCUGGGCCUUUUCUGACGCUGAAGUGCGAAAGCGUGGGGAGCAAACAGGAUUAGAUACCCUGGUAGUCCACGCCG